GGAAGGAUCAUUGAAUCAGAUCAACAACACUCGUGAACUUUAGCAGGUGCUCGUCACUUGCCGUACAGGGCCAGGUAGCUUUGAAGUGGUAAGAAGUGUUCGCACUUCCGAAACUUGUGAGCGCUUGGUCUUGCAAUCCAACUUUCCUUGGAAGGUUGUAUUGCGCCUUUUUCCAACCAAACACCUAACCUUGUUCUUCUGAAGUGAUGCAAUUGGCGUUGCCGAUUGUGUAACCUCAAACAACUCUCAACAACGGAUAUCUUGGCUCUCGCAACGAUGAAGAACGCAGCGAAAUGCGAUACGUAGUGUGAAUUGCAGAAUUCCGUGAAUCAUCGAAUCUUUGAACGCAUAUUGCGCUCGAGGCUUCGGCCGAGAGCAUGUCUGCCUCAGCGUCGGGUUACCCCCUCACUCCCACUAAACAUGGAAGUGGAGCUGGCAGUCUUAGCAACAUUCGAUGCUAGGUCUGCUGAAGCACAGAGGCUUGAACAUGGACCCAAUAAGGGUAACAACUAGGUAGGCAUGUCAAACGACGGCAUAAUCUUAGUUGGUGCCUGGGGCCGUGUUGGAGGCCAUGCAGGAUCCAGCCUUGUGCUGGAAUACUUCAAUUUCGACCUGAGCUCAGGCAAGGUUACCCGCUGAACUUAAGCAUAUCAAUAAGCGGAGGAAAAGAAACUAACAAGGAUUCCCUUAGUAGCGGCGAGCGAAACGGGAAUAGCCCAACUUGAAAAUCUCCAUUGGAGAAUUGUAGUCUAUAGAAGUGCCCUCUGUAGCGGCAUGGCCCUAAGUUCCCUGGAAAGGGACGUCAGAGAGGGUGAGAACCCCGUCGGGCCUCGCUUAGCUACCUCACGAGGUGCUUUCCACGAGUCGGGUUGCUUGGGAAUGCAGCCCUAAGUGGGUGGUAAAUCCCAUCUAAGGCUAAAUACUGGCGAGAGACCGAUAGCGAACAAGUACCGCGAGGGAAAGAUGAAAAGAACUUUGAAAAGAGAGUUAAAAAGUGCUUGAAAUUGUUGAGGGGGAAGCGUUUGAAAGUUAUGGGUGUGCCUAGGCUUAUGUAUCUUUAACGAGGUGCUGUAUGUGCUAGGUACUGGCCAGCUUGGGUUGGCCUUGCGGGAUAACCGCCGUGGUUGUUACACGGUCAAUGCCGCAGGGGCGAUCAAGGUGUGAAGGGCGCUUAGUCUUUGAACUGCGUCCUCAAGAAGUUGGCGGAAGGCUUUCAACUGACCCGUCUUGAAACACGGACCAAGGAGUCUAACAUGUAUGCGAGUUGGUGGGUGGAAAACCCAUAAGCGCAAGUAACCUGACUGGUGGGAUGGCCUGUGCCUGCACCAUCGACCGACCAUGAGCUUCUGCGAAAGGUUUGAGUGCGAGCAUACCUGUUGGGACCCGAAAGAUGGUGAACUAUGCCUGAGCAGGGUGAAGCCAGAGGAAACUCUGGUGGAGGCUCGUAGAUGUGCUGACGUGCAAAUCGCUUUUCGGACUUGGGUAUAGGGGCGAAAGACUAAUCGAACCAUCUAGUAGCUGGUUCCCUC
rnacentral:misc_RNA from 1 species